rnacentral:rRNA from 1 species
UACGGAGGGGACUAGCGUUGUUCGGAAUUACUGGGCGUAAAGCGCACGUAGGCGGAUUUGUAAGUCAGGGGUGAAAUCCCGGGGCUCAACCUCGGAACUGCCUUUGAUACUGCAAAUCUCGAGUCCGGAAGAGGUGAGUGGAACUGCGAGUGUAGAGGUGAAAUUCGUAGAUAUUCGCAAGAACACCAGUGGCGAAGGCGGCUCACUGGCCCGGUACUGACGCUGAGGCACGAAAGCGUGGGGAGCAAACAGG